rnacentral:ncRNA from 1 species
ACUCUAAAUGGUUAGGGUGUUUAUGCAGUAAUCCACUGCGUAAGUCAUAGAACGACUUUUCUAAGGAGAAAACAAUG